CAAUAGCGUAUAUUAAAGUUGUUGCAGUUAAAAAGCUCGUAGUUGGAUCUCAGGGUGAGCUCAUUUGGUCGGCCUAACUGGUCAGAACUGGAUGACUUACCCUUGUUUCUGGAUCCCGGCCGUAGUUGAUUCUGCGGUUGUGGACUCCAGAUCGUUUACCUUGAAAAAAUUAGAGUGUUCAAAGCGGGCGUUUGCUUGAAUACAUUAGCAUGGAAUAAUGGAAUAGGACUCUGGUUCUAUUUUGUUGGUUUUGAGGACUAGAGUAAUGAUUAAUAGGGAUAGUUGGGGGCAUUCAUAUUUAAUUGUCAGAGGUGAAAUUCUUGGAUUUAUGAAAGAUGAACUUCUGCGAAAGCAUUUGCCAAGGAUGUUUUCAUUAA
rnacentral:rRNA from 1 species